GGGGGAGAGGGGUUGGGGACUCCUCCCCGGAGGGCGGCCUUUCCAGCAAGGACACCGGUGAGCAGGGGAGGGUAGACAACCGUGUCCUUCCUAGAACUCGGUGAAUUUGCUUCUUGAUCAUCAUAGUUGGUCUCCCAGAUUUAUUGCAGCAGGGAAAAACAAAAGCUCCGGCCUGACUCCGCGGGGAGAGCGGGGGAGGCGGAGGCGGGGAGGGACCGUCAUAAUUUGUCCGUUUCACAGCUCAGGACACACAAAAGACACUGAAAGAUCGGCCCACAGUCGUCCAACCGCAACAGUGGGGAGAGAGGGCCAGAUGUGAGGCCCCCCGUAUUUCCAUCUCCGGCGCCCUCACCGACAGGUGCAGCGGCUGAGGGGGGGGGGCAGGGCCCUCGGGAGGGAGCGGGCUUCUCACCUGUGCAGGGGCCUCUGUGGGGGGCCGCGGGGAGAGGGGAGCAGGUAGCUGCCUGGGACAGAGCGCUCGCUCUCUCGCUCUCUCUCUCUCUCUCCAUCCCUCCUUCCCUCUCCCUUCCAGACUGGGAUGGAGAACAGCCAACCUCAGGAGAGUCAGAAAUAACAAACAAACGGGCAAUGAAGUGCUUUACGGAUGGCGGGUGGAUGCUGAAUAACAUUAACGCAGCCGGGACGGUGAACCGACGGGAAGACUGCCGUCGCCAUGACUCCAGGCCAAAUGAAGUUCUCCUUUAUUGAGACAAUUUCUCAAAGUCUGGAACUCGCACAGAAGGACUGCG
rnacentral:lncRNA from 1 species